rnacentral:rRNA from 1 species
UGAGAAUNNGCACAGCGUGAGGAANCAAGAUGCAGNGACGCCGAGUGAGUGAAGAAGGUAAGAAAUAUAAAUCUCUNUCAUAUGAGAAGAUANGGCGGUAUCAUAGGAAGAAGCCCCGGCUAAAUACCANCAGCAGCCGCGGUAAUAGUAUGGGGCGAGCUCCUCAAGAAUUAUUGGGCGUAAAGGGCAGUAGGCGGUUUUUUAAUUCAGGAAAAAAGCCGGAGGUUUAACCUCGGGACACACGAAAAACUUAAAGACGAGAGCGAGAGAGAAAAAAGGAGAAUUCAUAGUGUAGCGGAAAAAUGUAUAGAUAUUGGGGGGAACCCCGGUGGAGAGGGGGACUUUGGCGACUAAUAGACACGGUGAGGUGAAAAAGUGGGGAGAACACACGAGAUGAGAUCCCGGUAGAGUACACGCUAUAAGCGGAGAAUUAUAGGUGGGUGGAGUCAAAUAUCAGUGCCGAAGUUAACACAUUAAGCAUUCCGCCUGGGGAGUACGGUGGCAACAUUG